GUGAUUACUAUUCCACUGACUGGUGUCCAGUGGCAACAACUGCCCAAAAGCACAAGGGUUUAGGCGGUGGAAACACUGGAGCUAUUGCUGGUGCAGUUGUAGCUGCAGUUUUGGUCACUAUUGUUGUCAUAUUGGUCAUUCUUUAUGUUAGGAUGAAUUCAAACUCUGCUACCGUGCAGUGAAAUGCGUAUUGUAGUCAUUCGACGGCCAUUAAAAUUUCUCAAAAAUGGAGGAAGUUAAUUUUUUUCGCGAAAUUAUUAGAAGUUUUCUGAAAUUUAGCGCAUGAAAGAAUAUAAUUGAACAAAAAACCUUUAUUUCCUUUUUAACUAUAAGAGUAAACGAGAGUGAAUGAUUCUGAACAGUAUUUGAAAACAAAUUGGAACAUAAAAAGUACUCAAUAUUUUAAAUAGGAUAACGGCAGUAAUAAUUUUUAUCUAAAUACAUUAAAUAAGAAAUAAAGUAACGUUACAAAUAAACAGUGGCAAAGCAA